CAAAAAAUAUGUAUACAAUACAAACAAAUUGCAUAAUAUUUAACAUAAUCAUUAUAUCGAUCAUUUUGUAAUCUUCUGAAAUAAUUACCUGAUCAUCGACCAAUCAGAUAGUAUCGAAUUUUGGUUUGACCAAUUAGAGCGCGAGAUAUUAUCGCUUGCCCGGCGGCGUCUUGUGUGUAAAAACAUGGCGUCUAAUUGAACUUAUAUAUACAAUGAGAAACAAGAGAAAAUUACAGGGUAUUUUAAAGGAAUGAUGAUGACUACAGUGCUAAGCGAUUCUCAGCUAAAAAGAUUGGCAAAGCAUAAGUACAAUGCAAGCGUUUCAACGUUGCUCGACCCUUAUAUGCAAGUGUGGUGGCGAUGGUUUAUAGAGAAAUUGCCUCUCUGGAUUGCUCCGAAUACUAUAACGAUCUUGGGAUUAUUAACUAACUUGUUUACGACAUUGGUGUUAGUCUAUUUCUCACCACAAGCUCGGUCAGAGGU
rnacentral:lncRNA from 1 species